rnacentral:rRNA from 1 species
AUUGAACGCUGGCGGCAGGCUUAACACAUGCAAGUCGAGCGGAGAGAAGUAGCUUGCUACUGAUCUUAGCGGCGGACGGGUGAGUAAUGCUUAGGAAUCUGCCUAUUAGUGGGGGACAACAUUUCGAAAGGAAUGCUAAUACCGCAUACGUCCUACGGGAGAAAGCAGGGGAUCUUCGGACCUUGCGCUAAUAGAUGAGCCUAAGUCGGAUUAGCUAGUUGGUGGGGUAAAGGCCUACCAAGGCGACGAUCUGUAGCGGGUCUGAGAGGAUGAUCCGCCACAAUGGGACUGAGACACGGCCCAGACUCCUACGGGAGGCAGCAGUGGGGAAUAUUGGACAAUGGGCGGAAGACUGAUCCAGCCAUGCCGCGUGUGUGAAGAAGGCCUUAUGGUUGUAAAGCACUUUAAGCGAGGAGGAGGCUACUUUAGUUAAUACCUAGAGAUAGUGGACGUUACUCGCAGAAUAAGCACCGGCUAACUCUGUGCCAGCCGCCGCAGUAACAC